AUCCAAACUCGGCCUUUUGGCUAAGAUCAAGUGUAGUAUCUGUUCUUAUCAGUUUAAUACUUUUAAAAAUCAUUAAACAACUUAGCUGGCUAGUGUGGCUCAGCAGUUGAGCAUUGACCCAGGAACCAACAAGUUACCAGUUUGAUUCCUGGUCAGGGG
rfam:Myotis davidii contig93135, whole genome shotgun sequence.